rnacentral:rRNA from 1 species
GAUGAACGCUGGCGGCGUGCCUAAUACAUGCAAGUCGAGCGAACAGACGAGGAGCUUGCUCCUCUGACGUUAGCGGCGGACGGGUGAGUAACACGUGGAUAACCUACCUAUAGGCUGGGAUAACUUCGGGAAACCGGAGCUAAUACCGGAUAAUAUAUUGAACCGCAUGGUUCAAUAGUGAAAGACGGUUUUGCUGUCACUUAUAGAUGGAUCCGCGCCGCAUUAGCUAGUUGGUAAGGUAACGGCUUACCAAGGCAACGAUGCGUAGCCGACCUGAGAGGGUGAUCGGCCACACUGGAACUGAGACACGGUCCAGACUCCUACGGGAGGCAGCAGUAGGGAAUCUUCCGCAAUGGGCGAAAGCCUGACGGAGCAACGCCGCGUGAGUGAUGAAGGUCUUCGGAUCGUAAAACUCUGUUAUUAGGGAAGAACAAAUGUGUAAGUAACUAUGCACGUCUUGACGGUACCUAAUCAGAAAGCCACGGCUAACUACGUG